GUCUAGACGCAGAAAGCAUCGGUCAUAACAAGCCAAACUCUGAUCUUUUUGGCUUGCCUUUCCAUCCACCUAGCUACCCUGUUUGCCUUGGAAAAAAAUAAGGAACAACGUGUUUUCAUCAAAGAUUUUGUGUGGUGCAUUGAAGCCCAGAGGCAACAAGAAUGCUGGACUCAUCCUGAGAAGAAUGAAUUCUACACACCAGGAGGCACAGACAGGACUCGUUCUGCUUGUCUCAGGUUAGAGUACCUGGGUGGAGGAAACUCAAUUGCAAAGCUACCUCUAUCAGAUUGCCUGUAGAUCUAGAGACACACCCAGAGCCUAAGCAAAGAGAGUUCCGGACCAUAAACUGUAUCACUCCGGAACUGCAACUCUCUCCCUGAGCUUCCUUUGUUUCCGGGUUCCUGCUCCCUGCAAUCAAGGUGGCCGUUUAUCUCCUCAAAUACCAAAGCCGUCCUCCACGGCUGAGAUGUGAAACUUUUGAGGCCAACAACUUGAUCCUGCAUGUUCAGCAAGUGUCUGUCAAGCACCUUCAGAGUCCUGAGAGCUGAGGGAGGACCAGCUGGCCCUGUCUGAGGAUAAAUGGAUGAGUAACUGAGGUUGGAGCAGUGUGGCAUGUUUGUUCUAGGUUAUCUGCCCAGGGGAUUUGCAGUAGAGAUUCUCAUCAGAGAGGCUCCUCUGCCUGUCAUGCCUUUCAUGCCACCACCACUACCCUUCAGUGCUAUCAGAACUCAGCUGCUUGCUUGACACAUCUGGAGAGCAGAAGUUGUGAGACACGAGGCUUCAGGAGAGCAUUUGAAUCUGUGGGGACUGAAGAAAGAGACAUCUUGGCCUCGGGGAAUGGGGAAUAGCACCACAGGUCAAGUGAUGGGUGGGUGUGGGCCAGGAGCUAGUGCAUAACGGACGGACCACCAGACAGAAGAAACUGUUGUUAUAUGAAGCCUUAC
rnacentral:lncRNA from 1 species